AGCUGAUCAAGUGAUGCAAUUUAUUGGUUUUCUGCAAGAAAAGAACCAGUCUGCCCGUUUGGCCCGCCUCCAAAAAGUAAUGGCUCGAUGCCCCCCAAAAGGAAAAAAUACAGAGGAUUCAUGCUUCAUAAAAGAACUUAAUUUGAACGACCAAGAACUGCAAUGCAUGGUGAAGGUUGUCACGAAGAAAAAACAAUGAUUCAAGAACUUCCGAAGAAAAUAAUAAAACAUAGAUAUUGAGCGUUAUUGCGGAAAUUGUAUAUUAAGUGUGAAAAAUAAAGUUCGU